rnacentral:misc_RNA from 1 species
GAUGAAGAACGUAGCGAAAUGCGAUAAGUAGUGUGAAUUGCAGAUUUCAGUGAAUCAUCGAAUCUUUGAACGCACAUUGCGCCCCUUGGUAUUCCAUGGGGCAUGCCUGUUCGAGCGUCAUUUGUACCUUCAAGCUUUGCUUGGUGUUGGGUGUUUGUCUCGCCUUUGCGUGUAGACUCGCCUUAAAAUAAUUGGCAGCCGGCGUAUUGAUUUCGGAGCGCAGUACAUCUCGCGCUUUGCACUCAUAACGACAGCGUCCAAAAGUACAUUUUACACUCUUGACCUCGGAUCAGGUAGGGAUACCCGCUGAACUUAAGCAUAUCAAUAAGCGGAGGA